rnacentral:rRNA from 1 species
AACAAACGCUGGCGGCGUGCCUAAUACAUGCAAGUCGAACGGGUAGCAAUAUCAGUGGCGCACGGGUGAGGAAUACAUAGAUAAUCUGCCUUCGAGUCGGGGAUAACCAGUCGAAAGACUGGCUAAUACCGGAUAAGACCACAGGAUCUGCGGAUCUAGGGGUUAAAGGUUUUUCGCUUGAAGAUGAGUCUAUGCGAGAUUAGCUAGUUGGUGAGGUAAUGGCUCACCAAGGCGACGAUCUCUAACUGGUCUUAGAGGAUGAUCAGUCACACUGGAACUGAGACACGGUCCAGACUCCUACGGGAGGCAGCAGUAGGGAAUAUUGCGCAAUGGGGGAAACCCUGACGCAGCGACGCCGCGUGAGUGAUGAAGGCCUUCGGGUCGUAAAGCUCUGUCGUAUGGGAAUAACACAAUGAAUGUACCAUGCAGGAAAGGAUCGGCUAACUUCGUGCCAGCCGCCGCGUAA